rnacentral:lncRNA from 1 species
GGAAAAGGCCAGGAGAAAAUACAGGAGAGAGGCCCUGUCUACACACCAAGCAGAGAGAUCUCACCAGAACCCAGGCUUGCCCAUGCCUGGAUCUCUGAUUUCCAGCCUCCAGGAUUGGGAGAAAGGAAUGUCUGUUGUCUAAGAUUCUCUUAAUGGGGGAAUCUGUGGGAUUUGGCCAUGGCAGCCUUAAUGGACUCAGACACAAGGGAUGAUAGUCAUAUCCUGUGGCAUCUGAAAUGUGCUCAUGUCAUCACUGGGGAAGAAGAAAGUGAGUGAAGUCCACGUGAGAUUNGAGUCAUAUCCUGUGGCAUCUGUGCUCAUGUCAUCACUGGGGAAGAAGAAAGUGAGUGAAGUCCACGUGAGAUUAUUUAAGCACUCAACAUCAUUAGACGUGGUGGAUGAGAUCAGGAUCAGUGUGGAACCGGCAGGUUUCCCUCACCAAGAUCUCUGUUGAAGGCUAACUUAUCAUGACAUCUUCGGGGCCCAAGGAGAGAAGCUGCAUGUGUUAUGCUCCAACAUUGGGAAACUAUAUAGUUACGAUGAAUGGGUACUUCUCGUGUGGCAUGUGGUGCCUCCACUGUACCCAGGGCUUCAUUAUUUCCAGACUGGGAGUCAUCCAGGAAGGACCCUGUUAUGACAUCCAAGGCGUGUUCCCAAAGAAAAUCAUGCGGAGGGAAUAG